UCCAUUUCUUAGACAUUGUGAGAAUUGGGGUAUGAUGGGGCUGACAUGUCUGUGAAGAUAAAAGCCCCAAAAAAAAAAUUAAAGACUUAAAAA